rnacentral:rRNA from 1 species
GACGAACGCUGGCGGCGUGCCUAAUACAUGCAAGUCGAACGAGUGGCGGACGGGUGAGUAACACGUGGGAACCUACCCAUCAGAGGGGGAUAACUACUGGAACAGGUGGCUAAUACCGCAUACUAUCGGAUGAACCCAUAUGGGAUUAGCUAGUAGGUUGGGUAAAGGCUCAACUAGGCGACGAUCUCUAGCUGGUCUGCGAGGAUGAUCAUCCACACUGGGACUGAGACACGGCCCAGACUCCGACGUGAGGCAGCAGUGGGGAAUAGUGCACAAUGGGCGCAAGCCUGAUGCAGCCAUGCCGCGUGUAUGAAGAAGGCCUUAGGGUUGUAAAGUACUUUCAGCGGGGAGGCGUUACCCGCAGAAGAAGCACCGGCUAACUCCGUGCCAGCAGCGGCGGUAAUAC